GAUGAAGAACGUAGCGAAAUGCGAUAAGUAAUGUGAAUUGCAGAAUUCAGUGAAUCAUCGAAUCUUUAAACGCACAUUGCGCCCCUUGGUAUUCCGAGGGGCAUGCCUGUUCGAGCGUCAUUAUAACCCCUCAAGCUCAGCUUGGUGUUGGGGCCUGCUGCACUGGCAGCCCUUAAAAUCAGUGGCGGCGCCAUCUGGCUCUAAGCGUAGUAAUUCUUCUCGCUAUGGAGUCCUGGUGGAUGCUUGCCAUCAACCCCCAAUUUUUCUAUGGUUGACCUCGGAUCAGGUAGGGAUACCCGCUGAACUUAAGCAUAUCAAUAAGCGGAGGA
rnacentral:misc_RNA from 1 species